AUUGAACGCUGGCGGCAGGCCUAACACAUGCAAGUCGAGCGGAUGACGGGAGCUUGCUCCUUGAUUCAGCGGCGGACGGGUGAGUAAUACCUAGGAAUCUGCCUGGUAGUGGGGGACAACGUUUCGAAAGGAACGCUAAUACCGCAUACGUCCUACGGGAGAAAGCAGGGGACCUUCGGGCCUUGCGCUAUCAGAUGAGCCUAGGUCGGAUUAGCUAGUUGGUGGGGUAAUGGCUCACCAAGGCGACGAUCCGUAACUGGUCUGAGAGGAUGAUCAGUCACACUGGAACUGAGACACGGUCCAGACUCCUACGGGAGGCAGCAGUGGGGAAUAUUGGACAAUGGGCGAAAGCCUGAUCCAGCCAUGCCGCGUGUGUGAAGAAGGUCUUCGGAUUGUAAAGCACUUUAAGUUGGGAGGAAGGGCAGUAAGCGAAUACCUUGCUGUUUUGACGUUACCGACAGAAUAAGCACCGGCUAACUCUGUGCCAGCCGCCGCCGUAACAC
rnacentral:rRNA from 1 species